UCUAAAAAUAAAAAGGUAAUAUCUUUGGAGAAACCUAUACUCUUUGACGGCCUUUUUCCUUAUUAGAGGAACUUGUUGUCUAAUCGAAACUACACGUUAACUUUCUCUUUUUUUCAAAGCUUUUAUACCGUCGUCUUAAGAAUCUACCUUGAAGUCUGUUCUAAAUUUAUAAUCAAAAUAAGACAGAUCAAGGUGAAGCCUAUAAAGAAGAGCAUAAUGAGUUAUUUAUAAAAAUAAUUUAUAGAUUCCUAUUUGAAAAAAUUAAAUAAAUUAAGAUCUAAAAGUAUUAUUAAGUUAGUAAUUUAUAAAGAGCUAGUAAAAAAAGGUGU
rnacentral:rRNA from 1 species